GGAACGGCUAAUAGGUCCACACCAUUGAGGCAUACACCUUUGCGAUAAACCCUAGACGUUGUUGUGAACACUAAAGUGACCAUCUUUGUCACCGUUGUCUCUGUUUAGGAUACGAGAGAAGCCGAGGCUAUGGAGAGAAGCUCAAUCAAUACUCUCGAUUUCGACAGCUUCCCAAACGAUGUCAAGACCAAAAUCCUCUGCGGAGUUCCAGUCAAAACCCUGUGCGUGUUAAAAUGCGUCUCAAAAGCCCUAAACACCCAGAUCAAAUCCCCUGUUUUCACCAAAUUCUACGACAAGCUCCACUUCAAUCGAACAUCUGGUGACGGGAUGAAACCCAUAGCACUACUUGCUGUAAGUAAUUUAAGUCUCAACACUUUAGAUAUUGAUCACAAAAUCCCAGCUUCUGUUCUUCCUAUCCGAAGAAGUGUCAAGGACACGAGUGACUUGAGAUUGAUUGGCUCUGCUAACGGCUUAGUAUGUCUCUGUCGUUUGCCUUAUUCAUUUACUCUAGUGAAUCCGACCACCCAAGAAUUUCGGGUCGUACCCUACCCGGGUUCUUUUCAGGUUUCUAGGCAGCCCCCAUUUAGGUUGUAUGCGUUUGGUUAUGACAGGGAACAAGAUGAUUUCAUAAUUUUCAGUGCUGCGGCUCAUCAUUAUGGAUCGUGGUUGUCGGUGAUCAAGUUUUAUUCCGCUAAAGCCGAAUCGUGGGAGGAUAUUCCUGCCGCUGUUAAGGUUCCUGCUCAUGCUUUUAGUUCUGAAUUUUCAGUUUAUGUUAAUGGUGUUGCGCACUGGCUAGGCUGGACUGGUUUUAUAGACCCUUAUAAGGGGGAUUUGCUAGUUCGUAAAAUCAUGGGCUUUAAUUUUGCUAGUAAGGAAUUUGAGUUGUUGAUGCUAGAUGAGAAUAUGGAUGAGGGAGAAGUCACGGGUCUUGCGGAGUUGGGUGGGUGUAUUUGUGCUUUAGUUGAAUAUUAUGAUCAGUCUUUGGAUAUUUGGGUUAUGGAGGAUUAUGGUGUUGUUGAGUCGUGGCGAAAGACUUUUUCAAUCAAACUACGUGCAAGCCCCUCUGCGUUCAUUUCCCCAAUAUGCUAUGCAGACAAUGAAAUUUUGUUUCAGAUUGAUUAUGAGUUUGUUUUCUAUGAUCCGGAGGCUAAUACAACUUCUGAACUUAUGUCUGGAAUAUGGACAAUCAAGAAAAAGAAAGGCAGUUGGCUUGACAUCGUGAGGUACGAGAAGAGUAUUGUUUCUCCAUAGGAGUGGAGCAAGAGAUCUCAUACUCCUCAUUAGACUCAAUUUCUGCAUAGCCACCUCAAUCAUUUCCUCCAUCUCUUGUAAUCUGGAGCUGGGUACUGUUUAGAGUGUUUAGAAGCACUUCAGAGCCAUGUCAGCAUCGUUGCCUUUUGUUCUGCAAGUAAUGGAGGUCAAAUCUACAGUGCCCUGUCAGUAUCGUUGUUGUGUUAUGUUAUGUUAUUGUUGUUUGUAAGAAUGAAGGCCGAAUUUUCAUUAGAUAUACCAAACUAUAUAUUUUCUGAGCAUCACAUAUUCAUGUGCAUUCAUAUCUAUUGCUUAUUUCUGC